CACGUAGGGCGCAAGCGUUGUCCGGAAUUAUUGGGCGUAAAGAGCUCGUAGGCGGUCUGUUGCGUCUGCUGUGAAAACCCGGGGCUUAACCCCUGGCUUGCAGUGGAUACGGACAGACUAGAGGUAGGUAGGGGAGAAUGGAAUUCCCGGUGUAGCGGUGAAAUGCGCAGAUAUCGGGAGGAACACCGGUGGCGAAGGCGGUUCUCUGGGCCUUACCUGACGCUGAGGAGCGAAAGCGUGGGGAGCGAGCAGG
rnacentral:rRNA from 1 species